rnacentral:rRNA from 1 species
UACGUAGGGGCCAAGCGUUGUCCGGAAUCAUUGGGCGUAAAGAGCGUGUAGGCGGCCAGAUAAGUCCGCUGUGAAAUCUCGAGGCUCAACUUCGAGCUGUCGGUGGAAACUGUCUGGCUAGAGUCCGGAAGAGGAGAAUGGAAUUCCUGGUGUAGCGGUGAAAUGCGCAGAUAUCAGGAGGAACACCGGUGGCGAAGGCGGGUCUCUGGGACGGUACUGACGCUGAGACGCGAAAGCGUGGGGAGCGAACAGG